rnacentral:rRNA from 1 species
AGAGUUUGAUCCUGGCUCAGGACGAACGCUGGCGGCGUGCCUAACACAUGCAAGUCGAACGGAGAAUUGAAGCUUGCUUUAAUUCUUAGUGGCGGACGGGUGAGUAAAGCGUGAGCAACCUGCCUAUUAGAGGGGGAUAACUUCCGGAAACGGAUGCUAAUACCGCAUAUAGUACAUAAUUCGCAUGAAUAAGUGUAUGAAAGGAGCAAUCCGCUGAUAGAUGGGCUCACGUCCGAUUAGUUAGUUGGUGAGGUAAAGGCUCACCAAGACCGCGAUCGGUAGCCGGGCUGAGAGGCUGAACGGCCACAUUGGGACUGAGAUACGGCCCAGACUCCUACGGGAGGCAGCAGUGGGGGAUAUUGCACAAUGGGGGAAACCCUGAUGCAGCAACGCCGCGUGAGGGAUGAAGGUUUUCGGAUUGUAAACCUCUGUCCUUAGGGAAGAAAAAAAUGACGGUACCUAAGGAGGAAGCUCCGGCUAACUACGUGCCAGCAGCCGCGGUAAUACGUAGGGAGCGAGCGUUGUCCGGAAUUAUUGGGUGUAAAGGGUGCGUAGGCGGCUAUGUAAGUCAGGCGUGUAAUUCAGAGGCUUAACCUCUUGACGGCGCUUGAAACUGUGUAGCUUGAGUGGAGUAGAGGCAGAUGGAAUUUCCAGUGUAGCGGUGAAAUGCGUAGAUAUUGGAAGGAACAUCGGUGGCGAAGGCGAUCUGCUGGGCUCUAACUGACGCUGAGGCACGAAAGCAUGGGGAGCAAACAGGAUUAGAUACCCUGGUAGUCCAUGCCGUAAACGAUGAUUACUAGGUGUGGGGGGACUGACCCCUUCCGUGCCCGGAGUUAACACAAUAAGUAAUCCA